UUCCCUUCGGAAUAUCUCUCAGGAUAGCUGAGAUAAAUAAAGUUUCACUGGGUAGAGCUAAUGAUAAGAGGAAUCGGGUAAUAUUAAGACUCGACCUAUUCUCAAACUACCAACUAGUGAAAAUAGAUUUGAUUUCUUAAAUGAAUCAUUUCAUAUAAAUUUAUUGUCUCAUGUGGGCAAUUUUUGGUAAGCAGAACUCGCGAUAAGGGAUGAACCUUUAGUCCAGCUAAGGUGCCUAAGAUCUCAUUAAUAAAUACCAUAAAAGGAGUCGGUCGAUAUAGACAGUAGGGAUGUGGUCCUGAUAGUAGACAUCAUAUAAUGAGUGUGUUCAAACUCACCUACCGAAUCGACCGGCCCUGAAAAUGGAUGGCGUUUAAAUGAGACACCGAUACUGGACCAUUACAGCUGAAAUAAUGUAGUAAACUGUAAUGGGUAGAAGGGCGUAUUGGUAGCAAUAAAGUAUGUAAAGUGAUUACAUAUGAAGCUUCCAAUAGUGUAGAUCUUGGUGGAAGUAGCAAUUUUAUAAAAGGAAACGCCUUUUAGGCUUAAGUGGAGAAGGGUUCCAUGUCAACAGAAUUUGAACAUGGGUUAGUCGGUCCUAAGUCUUUGCUUAACUGUUUUAAAAAUGUGGACAUUAAAACUUAUAAAAUAGUUUGUGUCCAAGCAAGGCGAAAGGGAAUAUGGUUAAUAUUCCAUAACCAGGCUAUGGAUAAACAUAUAAAUAAUAAAAUAUUUAUAUGUAAUGCGGUAACGCAAUCUAUCUCGAUGACAUUGUUUAAUAUAUUGGGGAAGAGUUUUCUCUUCUAUUUAACAAGUUAAAUUACCCAGGAUACAAGUCACUUGGAGAAUGGGUAUUAAACUUGGAAGAGCGUUGCACUGUGAGCUACGUCCAAUUAAUAUUAAACAAUCCUUGAAAAAUCGAGGGUGAUAUUUAUUUUCAAGCCUGUCCGUACCGAACUCCGCAUCAGGUCUCCUAGGUGAGUAACCUCUAGCCCUGGAAGAAUGUAGGUAAGGGAAGUCGGCAAAUUAGAUCCGUAACUUCGGGAUAAGGAUUGGCUCUAAGGAUUGUGCCUCAUGAGCUAGCAAUACUUGUAAUGGUUGAUUCUUGAUCGUUUAUGUGCUGCGUGGUAUCUGGUUUAUUUUAUUGUACGCCAGUUGUCAUUCGCAUUCAAUGUGAUUUUUUCAACUUUACAAGUUUGCCUGCGUGUUUGAUCGGUAGGUACUUAAUCGGUAUUUACUUGUCAAGCUUUACGUGUGGUGUUUAUCAAUCAACUUAGAACUGUUACUUACUAGGGGAAUCCGACAGUUUAAUUAAAACCAAGCAUUUUGAUGGCCAGAAAUGGUGUUGACAAAAUGUGAGUCCUGCCCAGUGCUCUGAAUGUCAAAAUGCGGAAACGCAUCCAAGCACGGGUCAACGGCGGGAGUAACUAUGACUCUCUUAAGGUAGCCAAAUGCCUCGUCAUCUAAUUAGUGACGCGCAUGAAUGGAUUAACGAGAUUCCCACUGUCCCUACCUACCAUUCAGCGAAACCACAGCCAAGGGAACGGGCUUGGCCUAGACAGCGGGGAAAGAAGACCCUGUUGAGCUUAACUCUAGUUUGAUUCAGUGAGGAAACAUAAAGGGUGUAGAAUAGGUGGGAGAAGGAAUCAACAGUUUGAUCGAAGUUUUGCCAAUUAUUCCCCCCUUUACCGGAGGGUCUAGUUGACAUUUCAACUAUCUACUGCCUUCGAAAUUGAAAUACCACUACUUUUAUCGUUUCCACACUUAUUCGGUUAUAAGGGAAUUGUAUUGUUGUGUAACAACAACAUGCUAACUUUGUUGCAAUAACAUGGAUUCUUUCCAUUAACCCACAUUGUGGAUGUAAUUUUUUUUGAGCAGAUUCUGGCCCACGUUGUUGACCUCGGUCUUCAACCAAGCUUGCGUUUGUUACAUUUGAUGUUAUUAUCUACCCAUCCGAUGAAAUAAUCAGAUGGGGAGUUCGGCUGGGGCGGCACAUCAUAUAAAAUUCAACUAUGAUGUCCCAAGGUAAGCUCAAUGUGGCCAGAAACCACAUGUAGAGCAUAAGGGCAUAAGCUUACUUUAUUUUGAUUUUCAGUACGAACACAAAACGUGAAAGCGUGGCCUAUCGAUCCUCUGUAAAUUCCAAGUUUUGAAUUUAGAGGUGUCAGAAAAGUUACCACAGGGAUAACUGGCUUGUGGCGGCCAAGCGCCCAUAGCGACGCCGCUUUUUGAUCCUUCGAUGUCGGCUCUUCCUACCAUUGGAACGCAGCAGUCCCAAAGUGUCGGAUUGUUCACCCGCUAAUCAGGGAACGUGAGCUGGGUUUAGACCGUCGUGAGACAGGUUAGUUUUACCCUACUGUCUAAAACAAUAACACUAUGCGGGUAGGCCUACUCAGUACGAGAGGACCCGUAGGUCCGGAUAAAUGGUUUAGCACUUGGCCGAUAGACCAGUGGUGCACCGCUAUCAUCCGAUAGAUAAUGG
rnacentral:rRNA from 1 species